AGAGAGAGGAAAUCUGUCUGUUUGCAUAGGACAUGCAACUUUUUGUACCAACCAGUCUACACACAUCGAUGUCAACCCAUAUCAUCUAAAUAACCGGUUUUUGUAGGCAUACUCGGCCAGCAGACGAAAAAACGAAGCAGACGGAUCCCUCAAUCACAAUAAACGAAAGAGGUUGUAGAGUUGGAAAAAAAACCCCGAUCAAAUGCUGGCACUAGCUCCAAGUUUUCGCGAUAGACUUCCGAAAGAAAGAAAGGGAACUGGAACGUUUGAAAAAAAGCUCGCAAAUUGAAGCUCAUGAAGGAUUUGACAGCUGAACUCAAAGAAGUGCAAGAGUAAUUCAAGAAGACUAAACGGAGGUGUCCGGUAUGGAGGGCAACAUCAAAACUAUAGCAAAAGAAGAGAAUGAAGUGUAUGUGGGCCGUAUUGAAGGAGAUGAGGAAAUUUCUGAUUGCCGCCGAACAUUACAGCUCGAUGCCGAUCAGCUUGCUUCGUUACGGCUAAAAGUGGGCAAAAAGGAGCAAGCUGUUGCGGAAGCUGAAACGCAGAUUGCCAUUCUAAAGCAAGAGACUCAAUCAUCGCCUUGGUCCUCCUGAAUCGAGUCAGCAAACAGUCUUUGCCUGUUCCUGUUCCUGCUGUCGUCUCCAUUACGAGGUGGCUGGGUGUGUCAAAGAAAUCCGAAGAUCAUUUGCAGCAGCACUGUGAGAAUCAAAACUUGAAACAUCGCGUUUUCCCAUUUGGAGAAUCAGCUGCGUGCCUUCCAGGUAGACAAACUCGAAAAGCUAUGCCUACAACAGCAACUGCAACAAUUUCAAAAGGUGUCCUUGUUUGGUCGAAGUAUAGUGGCAACAAGGUCCGAAUGUCUCCUCUUCCGGCCUGAUCAAAGAGUCAGGAGUCAGCUGAUGGCGAAACAGACGGAAACCGCUGCCGUUAUCAACACAGUCAUCUUAUCAACACAUCUGUCACGAAAAAUACAACGCUAAAAUACUCGA
rnacentral:misc_RNA from 1 species